rnacentral:rRNA from 1 species
AUAGGAAGUCAUACCUGCCCGGUGAAAAUUUUUAACGGCCGCGGUACUCUGACCGUGCAAAGGUAGCAUAAUAAUUUGCCUUAUAAUUGAAGGCUAGAAUGAAUGGUUUGACAUGGAUAAAGCUGUCUCUAUAAAAUUAGUUAAAAUUUUAUUUAUAGGUGAAAAAGCCUAUAUUUUAUUAAAAGACAAGAAGACCCCAUCGAGCUUUAAAAAAAUUGGUAAGAGAUUAAUAGUUUUUCAAAAGUUAAUUUACCAAAAAUUUUGGUUGGGGCAACCUAGGAGCAUAUAAAACCUCCUAUUUUUAUAAAACACUUAGUUAUGAUCCAAAAAUUUUGAUUAAAAGAAAUAGUUACCGUGGGGAUAACAGCAUUAUUUUUUUUGAGAGCUCUUAUCGAAAAAAAAGUUUGUGACCUCGAUGUUGGAUCAGAAUACCCCAAAGAUGCAGAAGUCUUUAAAGGUUGGUCUGUUCGACCAUUAAAAUUCUA